GCCAGACACCAUGCAAAAAUACAGUCUUCCCUUUAAAAUUGUUAUAUGGCAUGCUAAGUUUUCUUCAUAGCAUAUCAUUAUUAAAGGUGAAUACAAAU
rnacentral:snoRNA from 1 species